AUUUUUUUUAAAUAGAAGAAGUCAGAAAUUUCAAAAUGUUUUGUUUAAUAUUAACUUAUGGAGAUACGCAUUUUACCCCUUUGUAUUUCCUUCGAUUUUGAAAUAGAGAAAAAUAAGCAACUCAAUUUUGAUGUCAGGAGUAAUGCUAGGAAUUCAUGGCAUACAAUCAGUCCUUGAAUCUUCGUGUUCAUUCCUUAUGGAGGAGCUUUAAUUACUUGGGGGAAACUUGAAAAGGGUUCAGAGAGUUGGAAACUUCUUGUCCAAUCUCAAGACAAUUGUCCCAAUUCAUCCUUCAUCCAUUUUUAUCAAACAAGGCCUUUUCUAGUUUAUCUAAUGCAAGUUCAGCUUACCUCAAGUCGUUUGCUCAACUUCUCAAAUUAAUACGCUAAGCUCUUCCAAAAGUGAGCACACACCAUAUCAAGAAGCAGUCUCGGAUUCUGUCAAGUGUGAAGAAAGAGCAGUGAAUGCUAGUUCUUCAAAUGGUAGAGUAAUGCUCAUAGAUGGCACAUCAAUCAUUUACAGAGCUUACUACUAGCAUUUAGGUAUGUCAUGGUGCUUAUUUGACUCUGACAUAUCAAAUAAUUUUUUGUAUGCUGAAUUUGAAGUUCUUGUUUUACUGAUGUUUUUGUUGUUUUUCUGAUUCUUAUAAUGUAGAUAGACAAUAGGCUGUUUUACAUUUUCUAUGACUAAUAUGAAGUUUCCAAUUAUCACAUGGAGUAAGUUUUAUUAUAUGCUUGUUACAUCUGGUGCCUCUACAUCUUUUAAAGAGCUAACUUUCAAUUGAAUGAUGUACAUCUUAUAGUAGUUAAUAUUUGCGUAGCUUAAGAUGUGUGUGGCAGGUAAUUUAUCAAAAAAGUAGAACAAGUAUGUUGAAGAUAUUAUUAAGUCAGAUGUGUUUAAGGUCUACUCUAAGACCUCGCAAAAUGGUCAUAGCAUAAUCUGGUUUGUGUUUUUGGUUUUGUCUGUAACUUUGAAUUUGUUAUGAUCAGCGUAUUCCUAAUAAAUCACUGUUGUCUUUGCUUCACAGAUGCAAUCUACGCUGAAAAUUAGAUCAACUGAUUGCUAUCCUUUUUCACUAAUAUGUAUUAGCUGCUCCUUUUUUCCCCUUCUUUUUGGAUUGAGAGCAGCAAAGUUGCACCAUGGUCAUUUAUCACAUGCAGAUGGCAAUGCGGAUUGGGUUUUAACUAUAUUUUCAGCACUAUCACUUGUAAUUGAUGUCCUGGAAUUUAUCCCUUCCCAUGUGGCGGUGGUGUUUGAUCAUGAUGGAGUUCCAUUUGAUCAUAAUUGUGUUUCAUUCAAAGAAAAUGCCAUGGCAAAAGGUUUGAAUUUUCGUCAUACUUUAUAUCCUUCAUACAAGAGCAACCGCCCCCCGACACCUGAUACCAUAGUUCAAGGGCUUCAAUACUUGAAAGCUUCCAUAAAAGCUAUGUCUAUUAAGGUGAUUGAGGUACCAGGGGUAGAAGCAGAUGAUGUGAUUGGAACAUUAGCUGUAAGGAGUGUUGAUGCUGGGUUCAAGGUACGAGUUGUUUCUCCAGACAAAGACUUUUUUCAGAUUCUUUCUCCUUCAUUACGCCUUUUACGAAUUGCAUCACGUGGCCUUGAGAUGGUUUCAUUUGGAAUGGAAGAUUUUGCAAACUUAUAUGGAGAAUUGAAGCCUAGUCAGUUUGCUGAUGUAAUGGCUCUCAUGGGUGACAGAUCUGAUAACAUUCCAGGAGUUGAAGGAAUUGGAAGUGUCCAUGCUGUGCAACUGAUCACUAAAUUUGGCACAUUAGAGAAUUUGUUACAAUGCGUUGAUCAAGUAGAAGGGGAACGCAUCAGAGAGGCCUUGCGUGCAAAUGCUGAUCAGGCCAUCUUAAGCAAGAACUUGGUAAUUUUUGUAUGCCUUGCUAUUUUAGCUUUGUUCUUGUGGAUUAUUAUUUUUUCCCUUCUUGAAGCCUAUAAAUAGCUUAUCAAAGCUAAUCUAUUUGUGCAUUUAUGAUCUGUGCACGGAGGCUUGUACGGCUGAUCAUUAGAGUAAAUACAACAACAUAUAGCCUCUUUAUAAUUGAUAUCAAAAGAUGCUAUCUGGGAUGCCUUCCUUUUUCAAAGUUCAACCCUGGGCAAUGAUUACAAUGUGAUUACGAAAAAUUGAUCUUGCUUAGGUGAUCACUUUUGUUCAUACAUAAUUAUUGUGAAUAUUCUAUCAUUUUUCAACUUUUGAGGUUUGGAUUUUUCUGGCCUACCCAUUUUAGAGGUGGAAAUUUUUCACGUAAUCCACUAGGCCCCCUAGUUAAAAUCUGAGUUGGGCCUGCUGUAGAAAUAAUUUGGGCAGGUAUAGCCUAUUACAGAGGCCUAGUUCAGGAAUAUGGAUAUAUUCUACUCAAACCUCAUGCUAUUGCCUUGGAUUCAAGUUCUUCAAAUUUUCUCUCAUUUGAUGGGUAUUUCCCUCAUUUCAUCCCUCCCUCAUUGGUUGCUUUCUAAAUUAUCUAACUCCGUUUUUGCUCCAAUUACAGCCAAAUUUCUCCAUAUAACUUUGCUGUGCAACAUUUUUCUGUGGCUGUUUCUAUUGUCAGAGUAAUGAAGGUAGAAUCUGGCUAAAUGCAUUGCUGGUGUAAUAAUGAUGAGCCAAGUUUAGUGUCCCAUUUGAGUCAGUUUCAGCACUUUUUUUUUGUUCCCCAAAACAAAUGCUUGAAAAAUAUAGUCAACAUUGCAUGACAAUCCAUUUGCCAGACUUGUUAUAAGCCUGCUUUAUGUUUUGAAUGAUUUAAUUGCUGUUGUUACCUUAUUGUCCUAAUGGGUUGCUUAAGUGCAAAGCUUAUGGACUAUGCU
rnacentral:misc_RNA from 1 species